UAUCUUAAUUGAUUGUAUACCUGAGUUAAUGAUAUUUUUAAUUUUUACACAGGAGAAUAAAGCAGUGUACCUACUGGACUUUUCGAAGAAGGGUUAGAAAUCCAGGAACAAGGAACACUAAGGGAAAGACACAAUUUUUGAACUGAACAUAUAGUUCCACCGAAGAUUUGACUUGGAAAUUUUUUUUACAGGCAAAAUCGUAUAAUUUAAAACGAUGCGGGAAAUUCCCAGUUGUUGGCAAAGUCGUACAAUUUAAAACGAUGCGGGAAAUUCUCAGUUGUAGUUGAUGACACAACAGAAUUAUGGAAAAAUUCUUGAUAAGUAACUAAAAUUAUGAUAAUAUUAUAGUUAAAUAAUCUUAAAAUAACAUCUUAGUCAUAGUAUUUUUUAAAUAAACUACUUUACAUUUUUCUACACAAUAUUAUACAUAAUAAUAUAUUGUAUAUCCCGUUGUAUACUUAAACAAACACAUAAUAUGUUACUUUUAAGUUUCAAUUUUUCCAGCAGCCAAUUAAGGCACCUACUUGGAUUUACUAACUUGAAUGUUGGUAAUGGUAAUUUGUUUAUCAAUUUAUUAAUAAAUCUUCAAUAUAUUAUUUUUAACUUGCAGAACACUAUGUCAUGGUAGAGGUACAAUGAUAAUUAAUUUAAAAUAAUAAAUAAUAAUGUGAAUUACAUUAUUACCGUUUACCACAUCAAAUUAACCAAGCUUAAAAAUUGUAUAAGUAAUGAAUGAUGUAUUAGCAAAUUGAAUACAAUAAAUACAAUAUGUAUGUAAAUUAUAGAGAAAGAAAUAUAAUAGUACUUAUAGACAUUAAAAUCACAGAAAAGUAUGGCUCAUUUUCACAUCAGUAAAAUAAAUUGAAGGUACAUUUAGUAACACAAU